UACGUAGGGGGCAAGCGUUGUCCGGAUUUAUUGGGCGUAAAGAGCGUGUAGGCGGCCAGGUAGGUCUGCUGUGAAAACUCGAGGCUUAACCUCGAGCUGUCAGCGGAAACCAUCUGGCUAGAGUCCGGAAGAGGAGAAUGGAAUUCCCGGUGUAGCGGUGAAAUGCGCAGAUAUCGGGAAGAACACCCGUGGCGAAGGCGGUUCUCUGGGACGGUACUGACGCUGAGACGCGAAAGCGUGGGGAGCGAACAGG
rnacentral:rRNA from 1 species